rnacentral:rRNA from 1 species
UACGUAGGGGGCUAGCGUUGUCCGGAAUCAUUGGGCGUAAAGCGCGUGUAGGCGGUCCGGUAAGUCCGCUGUGAAAGUCGAGGGCUCAACCCUCGAAUGCCGGUGGAUACUGCUCAGCUCGAGUCCGGAAGAGGAGUGUGGAAUUCCUGGUGUAGCGGUGAAAUGCGCAGAUAUCAGGAGGAACACCAAUGGCGAAGGCAGCACUCUGGGACGGUACUGACGCUGAGACGCGAAAGCGUGGGGAGCAAACAGG